CGUGCCCCGGGUUAAAUUCACUGCAUCAAGAUAGCUUACUCACCCGCAGACCCAGACGGACAGUCGGUAAAAGCACCUUUAGCACUCUCAAAAGCUGUUCGGGCAAAGGGUCGAGCGAGCCACUUGACGUCUGAUCUAAAGCUUCGCUAACGGAUGAAAAGGUUUGAUGUUUAAUAUCUUCGCUGGUUAAUGAUUUACGUCUGACGUUGAUCAUACUAUUGACCCCGGAGUGAUGGUACAGUAAAUGAGACUAUGUGGGAUUUCACGAAUGCACUGAGGGGUCAUAGCCGAGGACUGCAGUUCCGCUCGUUCAAACCCUGUCUGCUGAAAAGGAGUGGCUAUUUAAAUAUUACACACACCGGGCUCGAAGAAAAGGACUCGACAAGUUCAUCUCGUUUGGGAUGCAUAAACCUGCAGUCAUAGCCAUUGAAAGUCGUUCAGUCACCCGCAUUCAUGGAUAUUUGACCGCUCGUAAAGCGUAGGCUACGGAAUGUACAUUAAAGAGCAUCUGGAAGUAGCCACACUGCAGCUAGCUGAUUCCUCCAGUCAGAGGACAUCUUCUUUAUCAUUAGGUCGGCACAAACACAAGAAAGUUCUGAACUACUGAAUGGACACCUGGCCUGUUCAUCAGAUAACAUGGUCCUCAAGUCCUCUCCUGCUGUUUGAAACCUGAUUGUUAAACUGAACACACUUUUACCUGCCUCAGCUGCCUGUGAACGACCAUCCAGCUGGACUUGUAUCAGCUCCUUCUCUAAUGACAGUCAUGCCUUUUCCUUUUUUUCUUUGUUUAUUUAUUUGUUGAAAAUCCUGUAGGGAGACAGGGUCAUUAUUGGAAGGGGGAGAAUUGCAGGAAGGAAUGAAUUGAGAAUAGUGUGACUGAGAAUGAUUAAGGGCUGGAACAGAGGAAGUAAAAAUGGGAAAGAGGGUGAGUAGAAACAAGGAAAAGAUGGAGAGGAUGACAGGAGUGUAGAGGAGGAGGAGAGAGUAGAAAGAAGGAAUUGAGGGAGGAAUACAUUUAUAAAUUAGGUAGAAUAUACAUUUGGAAAAAUGAG
ensembl:lncRNA